rnacentral:lncRNA from 1 species
CUCUUCUUCUCUGUGUCUCUCAUCACGGCUGCAGUCCUCCUGCUCUGUCGAAGGUGAACAGCAGCAGUAUGGGGCAGUUAGACAGGCUUCCCCCCGCGGGUCAGAUGCCGCAGGUCUGUCCUGACUCUGAGGACGAGAGGAGCGUCUUGUCCCAGCGCAUCAGCACCUUCAGACCACGACCCUACAGCAUGAUGAACCCCGAGACCAGCAGGAUGAGGACGUCGACUGAUUUCACCUCGACGCCUCCAUCACCCAGCAGGUAAAGCCAGUGCCCUGUGUUCAGAAGAGCGCUCCACGUCUGAUGGGUUAGUUCAUUUAACCGUCCCCUCUUCACAGGAUCAACCCGUUCGCUCAUAUUCGCCUCAAGAAGACGGUGACCAAUGAUCGCUCCGCCCCACUGAUACAGCAGAGCCUUUGAUUGACAGCCAGAGAUGCUCCUGUGAAUGCUUCAUGAAUAACCCAAACUCUGAGAGGCAGAGUUUACACUUUUGAGAGAAUUAAGUGCAUUUAGAUCAUUUAGGAUUUAGCAGAUCAAACGUAUAUUCUAUAUAUAUUACAUUAUCAGAAAAAUGAAAUAUUUCAAGGUCUUUAUGUAUGAGUGCACUGACCUUUAACAUUUAACUCCAUAUUAUGGACAACAGUUUCUUCAGUAUUUUAACUCCUUUACUGUAAUGUCUACGAUGAAACAGUCAAUUCUCGAAAAAGUCAGUUUGACAAAACGUAGAUGUUUUUGGUAUAUCUGAUAUUUGUGGAGACGAUUCACAAUUUAGUUUCAUGAAAUAUUUACUCACUCGUGUCAUUCCACAUGCUAUCUAUCAUUUUUGGGUGAAUUGUUCCUGAGUGUACUUCCCACACAAAAUAAGAUACUUUCUCCUAAAACUUUUAUUUUAUGUAUUUUUAAAUAUUGAAUAAAGACAAGGUAUCCUAGAGCAUUCUGGGAGAAGCAGGUGAACGGACUGUUGGAGUCAAAAGCAGGGAAAUGGAGUAUAGUUAUAUAUAGAAAGGCUUUGAGAGAGUUUUUGGAAAAGCGUUGUGUUUGUGAAAGUGUGACGUGAAGAGGCUCUCGCUCUGGUCUCUUGUCUCCCUUCCAUCUGCUCUUAUGUGUUUUGUUAAACCCCAGAUCUCUAAAACUAAAGCUCGAGACCGUGCAGAGACGUGACAGAAGGUCUGGAAAGUGUAGACGUGCUGGAGGACAUGACGGAUAGAUGAGAAAUAAGCUGAAAAAACGUCUUUCUGACCCUUUUUCACCAUUAUUUUGGGACAGAGAAGACUUAACGAUGUAUUCGAAAUUAACCAAAAGAAUAUGAUUCAUUUACUUUUGAGUUUGUGUGUUACUGUAAGUUAAAUUGUUUCUGAAUUGUCUUAAAAGUUGCUUAUCGUUG